rnacentral:rRNA from 1 species
AGUGGCGGACGGGUGAGUAACGCGUGGGCAACCUGCCCUGUACCGGGGGACAACAGCCAGAAAUGGCUGCUAAUACCGCAUAAGCCUGCGGUGCCGCAUGGCACAGCAGGGAAAACCACGGUGGUACAGGAUGGGCCCGCGUCUGAUUAGUUAGUUGGCAGGGUAACGGCCUACCAAGACGAUGAUCAGUAGCCGGCUUGAGAGAGUGGACGGCCACAUUGGGACUGAGACACGGCCCAGACUCCUGCGGGAGGCAGCAGUGGGGAAUAUUGCACAAUGGGGGAAACCCUGAUGCAGCAAUGCCACGUGGGUGAAGAAGCACUCCGGUGCGUAAAGCCCUGUCAGCAGGGAAGAAAAUGACAGUACCUGACCAAGAAGCCCCGGCUAACUACGUGCCAGCAGCCGCGGUAAUACGUAGGGGGCAAGCGUUAUCCGGAUUUACUGGGUGUAAAGGGAGCGCAGGCGGUAUGGCAAGUCAGAUGUGAAAACCCAGGGCUCAACCCUGGGACUGCAUUUGAAACUGCCAUACUGGAGUGCCGGAGAGGUAAGUGGAAUUCCUAGUGUAGCGGUGAAAUGCGUAGAUAUUAGGAGGAACACCAGUGGCGAAGGCGGCUUACUGGACGGUAACUGACGCUGAGGCUCGAAAGCGUGGGGAGCAAACAGGAUUAGAUACCCUGGUAGUCCACGCUGUAAACGAUGAAUACUA